rnacentral:lncRNA from 1 species
AUUGUAGAACAGGCUGUGGGACAUGGAUAUAGUGAGAAUUUGAUUAUCACCAUGUGGAGUGGGAUAACCAGGAAGAGCGACAGGAGGAAUAAGGCGAUGGACGAGAGACGGGGGCCGUUCAUUGACAUCGGCAUGAAUCCACUUACCAUGAAGUAUAGACGGAGAAUUGAAAAAUGUACGGGCUCCAGGGUGGUAUUCAAUGGACGGAGUGCUGUGUUUGGUCUGGUGCGAGGCGACAGGGAUGGGAGAGCUGCCAACACGGGACCGGGCAUAUAUGGGAUACCGUUGACCGACGGCACAUUUGGUCAGGAGUGUGAGUGCGUGGGGU